rnacentral:rRNA from 1 species
AGAGUUUGAUCCUGGCUCAGGAUGAACGCUAGCUACAGGCUUAACACAUGCAAGUCGAGGGGGCAGCAUGUUGGUUGCUUUGCAACCAAUGAUGGCGACCGGCGCACGGGUGAGUAACGCGUAUCCAACCUACCCUUGUCCAUCGGAUAACCCGUCGAAAGGCGGCCUAACACCCGAUAUGCGGUUCACAGCAGGCAUCUAAGGUGAACGAAAUGUGAAGGAGAAGGAUGGGGAUGCGUCUGAUUAGCUUGUUGGCGGGGUAACGCCACCAAGGCGACGAUCAGUAGGGGUUCUGAGAGGAAGGUCCCCCACAUUGGAACUGAGACACGGUCCAAACGUCCUACGGGAGCA